rnacentral:rRNA from 1 species
UACGGAGGGUGCAAGCGUUUGUCCGGAAUCACUGGGCGUAAAGGGCGCGUAGGCGGCUCAUGAAGGCUGUGGUGAAAGUCCGGGGCUCAACCUCGGAUCGGCCGUGGCGACUCGUGGGCUGGAGCACUGUAGAGGCGGGUGGAAUUCCGGGUGUAGCGGUGAAAUGCGUAGAGACCCGGAGGAACACCAGUGGCGAAGGCGGCUUCCUGGUCUGCGACUGACGCUGUGGCGCGAAAGCUAGGGGGAGCAAACGGG